UACGUAGGUGACAAGCGUUGUCCGGAUUUACUGGGCGUAAAGAGCGCGCAGGCGGUCGUUCAAGUCGAGUGUGAAAGCCCCCGGCUCAACUGGGGAGGGUCAUUCGAUACUGAUCGACUCGAAGGCAGGAGAGGGUAGUGGAAUUCCCGGUGUAGUGGUGAAAUGCGUAGAUAUCGGGAGGAACACCAGUGGCGAAGGCGGCUUUCUGGUCUGCUCUUGACGCUGAGGCGCGAAAGCUAGGGUAGCAAACGGG
rnacentral:rRNA from 1 species